UUGUGUGAAUACAUAGCACAUUCGAGGUAGACGCAGAGAACUGAAACAUCUAAGUACCUGCAGGAAGAGAAAGAAAAUUCGAUUCCCUGAGUAGCGGCGAGCGAAACGGGAAAAGCCCAAACCAGCAAGCUUGCUUGUUGGGGUUGUAGGACUCCAAUAUGGUAGUUCUUUCAGAUAGUCGAAUGACUUGGAAAAGUCAGUCAAAGAGGGUAAAAACCCCGUAGACGAAAUGUGGAAGACACCUAGGAGGAUCCUGAGUACGGCGGAACACGAGAAAUUCCGUCGGAAUCCGGGAGGACCAUCUCCCAAGGCUAAAUACUCCCUAGUGACCGAUAGUGAACCAGUACCGUGAGGGAAAGGUGAAAAGCACCCCGGAAGGGGAGUGAAAUAGAACCUGAAACCGUGUGCCUACAACAAGUCAAAGCCCGUUAAUGGGUGAUGGCGUGCCUUUUGUAGAAUGAACCGGCGAGUUACGAUUGCAUGCGAGGUUAAGUUGAAGAGACGGAGCCGCAGCGAAAGCGAGUCUGAAUAGGGCGUUUGAGUAUGUAGUCGUAGACCCGAAACCAUGUGAUCUACCCAUGUCCAGGUUGAAGGUGCGGUAAAACGCACUGGAGGACCGAACCCACGUACGUUGAAAAGUGCGGGGAUGAGGUGUGGGUAGCGGAGAAAUUCCAAACGAACUUGGAGAUAGCUGGUUCUCUCCGAAAUAGCUUUAGGGCUAGCCUCGGAAUUGAGAAUGAUGGAGGUAGAGCACUGUUUGGACUAGGGGCCCAUCUCGGGUUACCGAAUUCAGAUAAACUCCGAAUGCCAUUCAUUCAUAUCCGGGAGUCAGACUGUGAGUGAUAAGAUCCAUAGUCGAAAGGGAAACAGCCCAGACCACCAGCUAAGGUCCCAAAAUAUAUGUUAAGUGGAAAAGGAUGUGGGGUUGCACAGACAACUAGGAUGUUGGCUUAGAAGCAGCCACCA
rnacentral:rRNA from 1 species